rnacentral:piRNA from 1 species
AGGAAAGCCUUUACUGUCUAGUCCUUGGCCUA